CUUGUAGGCGGUUUGUCGCGUCGGAAGUGAAAACUCAGGGCUUAACCCUGAGCCUGCUUCCGAUACGGGCAAACUAGAGGAAUGCAGGGGAGAAUGGAAUUCCUGGUGGAGCGGUGGAAUGCGCAGAUAUCAGGAGGAACACCAGUGGCGAAGGCGGUUCUCUGGGCAUUUCCUGACGCUGAGAAGCGAAAGCGUGGGGAGCAAACAGGCUUAGAUACCCUGGUAGUCCACGCCGUAAACGGUGGGCACUAGGUGUGGGACUCAUUCCACGAGUUCCGUGCCGUAGCUAACGCAUUAAGUGCCCCGCCUGGGGAGUACGGCCGCAAGGCUAAA
rnacentral:rRNA from 1 species